rnacentral:rRNA from 1 species
GACGGAGGAUGCAAGCGUUAUCCGGAAUGAUUGGGCGUAAAGCGUCCGCAGGUGGCAGUUCAAGUCUGCUGUCAAAGACCGGGGCUUAACUUCGGAAAGGCAGUGGAAACUGAACAGCUAGAGUAUGGUAGGGGCAGAGGGAAUUCCCGGUGUAGUGGUGGAAUGCGUAGAGAUCGGGAGGAACACCCGUGGCGAAGGCGGUGGCCUGGACCGAUGCUGACGCUGAGGCGCGAAAGCGUGGGGAGCGAUCCGG